UACGUAGGGUCCGAGCGUUGUCCGGAAUACUGGGCGUAAAGCGCACGCAGGUGGCUGAGUCAGUCGAUUGUGAAAGCCCUGGGCUUAACCUGGGAAUUGCAGUCGAUACUACUCAGCUAGAGUAUGGGAGAGGGCAGUGGAAUUCCCGGUGUAGCGGUGAAAUGCGUAGAUAUCAGGAGGAACACCAAUGGCGAAGGCAGCUCGCUGGAACGGUACUGACGCUGAGGCGCGAAAGCGUGGGGAGCAAACAGG
rnacentral:rRNA from 1 species